rnacentral:misc_RNA from 1 species
AGUGGAUGAGGUAGCUUGCUUCACAAAUAACUGCACCGCAAUACUUAUCUACUCAUGAAAGUGUUAGGUAAAAGAAUAUAUUGCCUUUCAUACUUGGGUUGAAUAGGUACAAAAGUACGUCCAUCUCGUCAAGUGUUGUCAUAUAAAUGGAACAAAUUGUUGAGAUAUCCUAUCUUGGUAUCGGCUACGGCUAUUGUUUAACUAUAGCCAUUAAAUUGUACUUAUUUUCUAUCUUUUAAUAUCAAAUUUGCGGGAGAAUGUUGGAGAUAUUUUAUGUUAAUAUUACAAAUAAUAAUAAUAAAUUGCAUGAAAUUUUAUUUUUAGUGGCUACAAUGGUGAAGGUGGCCAUAGUUUCGUGUGUAUAUCUUGAAUCAACUAUCUUAUGAUCAACCAUUAAUUAACCCAAUAAUAGGUCAAGUAAUUAACCACUAACGGAUGAUCGCAAG